CAGUAGCGUAUAUUAAUGUUGUUGCAGUUAAAAAGCUCGUAGUUGGAUUUCUGGCGAACAUGUCCAGCCCGGUAGACAAAUGUCGCUGAGUGCUCGGUACGCGUUCGUCAUCCUUCUAGAGAGGCUGGGCUACCCAACCGGGCCGGUUCAGUUUGUCUAGAUCUUUUACUUUGAAAAAAUCAGAGUGUUUCAAGCAGGCAGCUCGCUCUUGCAUGGAUUAGCAUGGGAUAAUGAAAUAGGACUUUGGUGCUAUUUUGUUGGUUUCGAACACCGAAGUAAUGAUGAGAAGGGACAGUCAGGGGCACUCGUAUUCCGCCGAGAGAGGUGAAAUUCUCAGACCAGCGGAAGACGAACCACUGCGAAAGCAUUUGCCAGGGAUGUUUUCACUGA
rnacentral:rRNA from 1 species